AUAGGAAAUCGAACCACAUUAAAGUCACCUCCUAUACACGUUGGUAGAUUCCACCAAGCCAUCAUUUCAGCCAGUUUAUCCCACAAGCCCCGUCUACUGUCAUCAGUAUUGGGCCCAUAAACACCUAUGAACAUCCACUGAAAUCCAUCCCCAAUGUUUCUGAAUGACAUCGAUAUUGAGAACAAUCCAACACUCACCUCCUCCAUUUCAAGCACUCUGGUGUCCCACAGGACUAAUAUGCCUCCAGAAACCCCUGAUGAUCCUAUAAACUGAUACCCUACACGCUGUCCCCCCCAAUAAGCUACUAACCACCGCCCUUGAGAUGACCUCCAUCUUGGUUUCUUGUAAGCAUACCAGAUCCGCUCCCCAGCCCCUUAGCAAAUGUCGAACACCCAUCAUUUUCCCAACUUCAUUAAGUCCCCUUACAUUCCAGCUAAUGAUUCGUGUAUCAUUUUAACAGUCCGGCAUCCCUUCCCAGUACUCCAUUCUUGGACUCACCACCCUUGCCAUCAUAAUUAACUGACCAUUCGAGCCUCUUAAGUUCACGAUCGCUCUUUCUUCUUAGUUUGCCUUCUUGUUUACUCAUCUCUUGUCCCCUAUUGGCCUCCAAAUCCUCAAAUAAUUGUAAUAAUCUGUUUUCAUGUAGUCAAUGACUGAGAGCAUGUUUGGAAGUGUUUAUAAAAGGUUUAAUUUGUACCUAGAUAGAAAUGAGUGGUGGAUAAGUGAGUAAUACUUAUGGUUACAUCAAAAUGUAUAGAUAAAAAGUGGCUUAAAUGUUUAUAAACAUUUUAUGAAUAUGAGUCAAACAUAGGCUAAAAGAAUUGAAGCACUUCCAAAUGGCCAGCAUGGUUUGUAGAUUCAGAAGGAACUGUCAUGGGAACUUGCACCACAUUGUAUAAACAUGUUGCUCGAGGAGAGACAUCUAAAAUCAUAUCAUAAUGAGCUAAAAACCUUGAAUAAACUGCAAAUGCAUCCUGUGAAAGAAUCUCUUUCACUAGUUUUGAAGGAUCAACAGUUCAGGGUAUAUGACUGAAUAUUUUAGUUCCCUCGGACUUUGAAACAGAAAAGCAAACACAUCCCAUGUACAUUAUGGGGAUAUAGAACUAAUUCAUGUUAUUGAAAAGUUCAAUCGAAACACAAAAUAUCACUCUAGAAACCAUUUUAAGUUUAUUUACGAAAUCAUGCUAGCCUCACCAUUUUAAGACAAAACUAUAAACUUGCUCCCCAGAAACAGCAUUGGAUCUUUAAAAAACUCAGAAGAACUAAUUGCUCAACGCUACUUAAAGCUAGUACAUAAGUGAGGUAAAAGGAAAACACGACUAAUUCAUAAAGGAGGUAAAUAAUAUUUAAAAUCUUAUGAUAUUAUACAUAUGCAAAAUAUGAACUCAAAUGAUAUUAAACAUACGCAGAGUUGUAUACAUGUUUUCAAGCAAAAUUUCAACUCAAGGCACUAGUCUUGGUUCGAUUCUAAGGACUCGCUGAUUUAACUUGUCAAAACUAAAACCAACUCCAAGAACCCACAUGCUAUAUAUCCUCAUAACAAAUUCGGUAGUACGAUAUACUGGUAAGAGAAUAGCAAAAUACCACCUAAUUAAG
rnacentral:lncRNA from 1 species